GACGAACCGUGCGAACGUUGUUCGGAAUCACUGGGCUUAAAGGGCGCGUAGGCGGGCAGCCAAGUUCGGGGUGAAAUCCUCCCGCUCAACGGGAGAACGGCCUCGAAUACUGGAUGUCUCGAGGGAGGUAGGGGCGUGCGGAACUAUGGGUGGAGCGGUGAAAUGCGUUGAUAUCCAUAGGAACUCCGGUGGCGAAGGCGGCACGCUGGACCUUUUCUGACGCUGAGGCGCGAAAGCCAGGGGAGCAAAGCGGG
rnacentral:rRNA from 1 species